GCGCUCUUAGUUCUGUUCGGUAGAAUGUGGGUCUCCAAAACCCAAGUUCAAAUCCUACAGAGUGUG
rnacentral:tRNA from 1 species